rnacentral:rRNA from 1 species
UGGGGGAUAUUGCACAAUGGGCGAAAGCCUGAUGCAGCGACGCCGCGUGGGGGAUGAAGGCUUUCGGGUUGUAAACCUCUUUCGCUAUCGAACAAGGCCCGCUUAGGGUUGGUUGAGGGUAGGUGGAGAAGAAGCGCCGGCUAACUACGUGCCAGCAGCCGCGGUAAUACGUAGGGCGCGAGCGUUGUCCGGAAUUAUUGGGCGUAAAGGGCUUGUAGGCGGCUUGUUGCGCCUGCUGUGAAAACGCGGGGCUUAACUUCGCGCGUGCAGUGGGUACGGGCAGGCUUGAGUGUAGUAGGGGUGACUGGAAUUCCAGGUGUAGCGGUGGAAUGCGCAGAUAUCUGGAGGAACACCGAUGGCGAAGGCAGGUCACUGGGCCAUUACUGACGCUGAGGAGCGAAAGCAUGGGUAGCGAACAGG